GCCCGCUUGGCUAAGUGGUAUAGCGUGUCACUAGUAACGACGAUUAGAUGUCGUGACGAGAUCGGCGGUUCGAUUCCGCUAGUGGGCA